rnacentral:rRNA from 1 species
GCUAGCCAUAUCACAUUGAAAGCACCGGUUCUUGUCCGAUCAGUGAAGUUAAGCAACAUCAAGCCUAGUUAGUACUUAGAUGGGUGACCACUUGGGAAACCUAGGUGCUGUAAGCG